CAUAGCGACUAUCGUGGCAUAUCAAUAAGCGGAGGAAAAGAAACUAACUAGGAUUCCCUUAGUAACGGCGAGUGAAGCGGGAAGAGCUCAAAUUUGAAAUCUUCAAGGUUUUACCUUGACGAAUUGUAGUUUAAAGAAGUGUUUUCUGUAGUGGAGUUUGGUAAAAGUUCUUUGGAAUAGGACAUCAUAGAGGGUGAGAAUCCCGUAUUUGACCAUUAUUUUCAGCUGUGUGAUACACUUUCAAAGAGUCGGAUUGUUUGGGAAUGCAGUCCAAAAUGGGUGGUAAAUUUCAUCUAAAGCUAAAUAUUGGCGAGAGACCGAUAGCGAACAAGUACCGUGAGGGAAAGAUGAAAAGAACUUUGAAAAGAGAGUUAAACAGUACGUGAAAUUGUCAAAAGGGAAGCGUUUGACACCAGUGUUGUUUUCUCGAAAAUCAAUUAAAAAAGGCCGGAUUUUGUGUUGUAUUGACCUUAAAAGCUUUCUUCACUCUUUUCUUGUCUUUUUUAAUGCACUUUUCGUUUAACAAGUCAACAUCAGUUUCUUUUGUUGUAAAAGGGUCAUUGGAAGGUGGCUUUCUUUUCGGAGAAAGUGUUUAUAGCCUUUGAUCUCUGCAACCGGAGAGACUGAGGUCUGCAGCGUAGACUCUUCGGGGUUAGAUACAUUUGUGCUAAGCUAUAGCUUUUUAUAGACAACUUGUUGACUAUAUUUAGUCUUGUGGCUUACUCGCUUAUGCUAUUUUACCUACGCUUAGGAUGUUGAUAUGCAUGACUGAUAU
rnacentral:rRNA from 1 species